rnacentral:rRNA from 1 species
CGUGUAGGCGGCCUUUUAAGUCUGAUGUGAAAGCCCGGGGCUUACCUCCGGAAGUGCAUUGGAAACUGGGAGGCUGGAGUACCGGAGAGGAGGGUGGAAUUCCUGGUGUAGCGGUGAAAUGCGUAGAUAUCAGGAGGAACACCGGUGGCGAAGGCGGCCCUCUGGACGGAUACUGACGCUGAGACGCGAAAGCGUGGGGAGCAAACAGGAUUAGAUACCCUGGUAGUCCACGCUGUAAACGAUGGGCACUAGGUGUUCGGGGUAUUGACCCCCUGAGUGCCGCAGCUAACGCAUUAAGUGCCCCGCCUGGGGACUACGGCCGCAAGGUUAAA